ensembl:lncRNA
CGCCCACUUCCUCACUUCGCGGCUCUGGAAAGUCUGGGCCAGGACGCAUUCUUUGUCUGACUCGGGGCGGUGGGGGGGGCGGUCGCGCCCCCCUACACCCCCUUCCCGGCGGCGAGGCCGGGAGGGGCGGAGCCCGCGUCGCGGCGAGGGCGGGCCCGGGUGGCCUCUCCAGCACCCCCGGCCUCGCGCUGCCCCCCGCGGCCCCCACCUGUUCCCUGGCGGCUGGGGCCGGGGUCCCUGGGGACUCGCGGGUCCCCUGAUUCAGCGCGCCCAGCCCGGCCCGGCUGGAACAAAGUGCGGCGGGCCCAGGCCCGGCGGCUCCCGGCUGCUCCGCCCGGCCGCGCGGGGCAGUUUGCAAACACAAAGUGCGCCGCAGAGCCAGCCAGAGUUGGAGCGGCCGCCGGCCCAGCCCCACGCGUCUCCGCGCGCCGCCACCUACCUGUCGGGCCCGGCUCAGCCCGCGCGGGGCAUGGGGCUCGCUGGGGUCCCCGCCUGCCCGCCGCCGCCCUGGCGUCCUCCCGCGCCGCGCGCCCUAGCCGCGCCGGGCCAUCGCGGGCGCCUCGGCGGGAGCUCCGCGCGCCCCAGCUCCGUGCUGCUCCGGCCUCCGGGGCCCGGGCGUCUCCGCCCCCCGGCUCAGCCCUGGCUCCUCCCCACCGCGCCGCGCCCUCCUCGCGCGCUGGGCUCCGUCCCGGCCGCCGCCGCUCGCUCCGGGCUGCAGGGCGGCCGGCUCCGGACUCCGCGGGCUGCGACCUGAGCCGGUGCGAAGGCGGCGCGCGGGCGGGGGUGGGGCCGGGGCGCGCCGCCGAGCGGCGGGCAGGCGGGGCUCAACUCCGCGCUACCGUAAUCCGCCUAAAGCUGGCGCAGCACGUCCACUGCCGGGCCGCGGGGAGACCACGUGGACCGAACUUCAGGGAGAACAGACCGGCACGUGGGACGGGCCGUGGGGCUACGGAUCUGAAAGGGGCUUUGCAGAGAGACCUCAGAGGGUGUCCGGCCUCGGAGCGGUUCCAGGGAACGCUGUGCCAACCCCACCUUCCUGUGGAGCCCUGAGGCAGCAUCCCAUGGAGUCUCCCCGAAUGCAGAGCAGCUGCCUCAGUCCCAACACAAGGACUUUAAGCUCUGUCUGCCCAGCAAGCAGAAGAGCAUGCAGCGUGAACCCAGGAGUUUCACUUAUUAGCCCAGGCUGCCCUGGACCUUGAGGCGAUCCUCCUGCCUCCGCCUCCAAAGUGCUGGGAUUAUAGGUCAUUCCGGACUCCCGACGCCGCCGCCAGUCCCUUGGUGAGACAGCAGCACCACUGGCGUCCGUGGCCUCUGUUUCCGUGGCAACCCAGUAACCAUUAAUUUUCAAUUAAAGGAGACAAAAAGCUCAAUGACAGCUCCAGGUCCGCUGAAGAUGUCAAGAAUGUGUAUUAAUAUACAGCACGAGAGCAUAAUUGUGUGUCCAUCUUCCAGAGCAGCGAAAAAUGGAGGGAUAAUUACCAGCUCGAAAGCCACUCUGUAAUUUAGUUCUUACUGUCACCACAACCCUGCACAUUAGCAUAAAUUAAAAGCGGAGUUUAUUGUUAUCAAAGUGCAUCGAUACCGCCAGACCCGCUUUCUUGCUUUUAACUGUUUGUUGUGGGCAAGUGACUCCCCGACUCUCACCAGGGCCUCCCCAGGAUGGGCACAG